GUCAGAUCCCCUGUGUUUCCCGGGUCAGUUAUCACGCAGGCCUCCAAAGGCUACGGACCCCCCAGGCCGUUCCGCUGGCAGGCCGUAAGGAUUCUUCCAGAGUUGUCCGUAGCUCCAUUCAUCUUCCCAACUCCACUGACCAGCCUCCAUGUCUCCUGAAGACCAGCAUUCACACAUCAUUAUGCUGCCGCCGUCAUGUGUCACUGUGGGGCUGGUCUGUUAAAAUUUCAUUUUGUUCUUAUCUAACAGAACCUCCUCACAUUCCUGCUAUUUCUUGUGCUUAAGCUGCAAAAAGGGCUUCUGAUGGUUGUUCAUGGACAUUUUCUACUUUUCUUACCACUCCUACAUAAAUGCCAAAUAUGAAGACAACUAAUAGUAAGAAUAUAAAAAAGCAUUAUAUUAUGUGGUUAUGAUGUUUCAAAGUGUGAGAAAAGUCCUCUUACUGAACAGCGUAGGGCAACUACAACAAAGACAAAUGUAAGAGGAACUAGUAAAUGAUAAAGUUAAUUCGUCAGUCAGUCUGUUGCUUUUUUUCUGAAUGCACACAUGCUAAAGACUAAUUAUCAGUUGUAAAACCCCCUAAGAUUAUUCUCUCGCCUUAAUUUAUCAACUGCAUAUUCUACAGUUUGCACAGAGUAAAAGUAAAGCAUUCUGUUUUUUUUGUUUUUUUUUUAAAGAAGCAAUAUGGCCUCUUCCCAGAUUCAAUAUGAACUCAAGUGUCAAGUGAGCAUAUGUAUAAAAGCUUUGGCGGUCUGAAUAAUUCACAGAGUUUUUUUUUUUUCCAAGUUACUUCUUUGCUUGCACAUACAUACACAAUAAAAUACCCAUGUGUCAUAGCUGGAACAGACUGCAUACAUAUUAAACCAAAGCAUGUGCAGCGUCUGCAGAGACCAAAAGGCUCACAAAAGCUCAAGACGGGAAGAAAAAAAAAAAA